AACGUAGGAGGCGAGCGUUAUCCGGAUUUACUGGGUGUAAAGCGCGUGCAGGCGGUGCGGCAAGUUGUGUGUGAAAGCGCUCUGGCUCAACCGGGCGAGGACGGACAAAACUGGCGCACUGGAGGCGGGCAGAGGCGUGUGGAAUUCCGGGUGUAGUGGUGAAAUGCGUAGAGAUCCGGAGGAACACCAGUGGCGAAGGCGACACGCUGGGCCUGGCCUGACGCUCAGACGCGAAAGCAUGGGGAGCGAA
rnacentral:rRNA from 1 species